rnacentral:rRNA from 1 species
GAGGGGCUUGCGUCCUAUCAGGUAGUUGGUGGGGUAACGGCUCACCAAGCCGAUGACGGGUAGCUGGUCUGAGAGGAUGGUCAACCACACUGGGACUGCGACACGGCCCAGACUCCUACGGGAGGCAGCAGCAAGGAAUAUUGUGCAAUGGGCGAAAGCCUGACACAGCGACGCCGCGUGAGGGAUGAAGGCCUUCGGGUUGUAAACCUCUUUUCUCAGGGAGGAGUAAGGACAGUACCUGAGGAAUAAGCCACGGCUAACUACGUGCCAGCAGCUGCGGUAAAACGUAGGUGGCGAGCGUUAUCCGGAUUUAUUGGGCGUAAAGAGGGCGCAGGCGGCCUGGUAAGUCGAAUGUGAAAUCUCCCGGCUUAACUGGGAGGGGUCAUUCGAUACUAUCAAGCUGGAGUGCGACAGGGGGAGGUAGAAUUCCCGGUGUAGUGGUGAAAUGCGUAGAUAUCGGGAGGAAUACCAGUGGCGAAGGCGGCCUCCUGGGUCGUUACUGACGCUUAAGCCCGAAAGCGUGGGGAGCAAACAGGAUCAGAU